UGAAAGUUUGUGGAGAAAAAGCACCAGAGUUGUUUACUGUGCUUGAAUUGUUUUCGUGGUUGUUGUUAGUAUGUCAUAAAUCAAAGAACAUCCACGUUAAAGGAUAUUUGUUUUCAUGCAUACCCACAGACUAUACUUCAUCAGCGGUCCAGAGUGCUUCAUUUGGCCUGCAUCUGUGAGGACAGACAGCCGCUGCUUCUCUCCUGGUUAAACUAUGCUGUAAGGAAGGAAGAAGCCUUGGAGAGUUUUCGAUUUACAAAUCAGGUUUAUAACAGAAAAUACAGCAUAGUUAGUCUUUCCUGAACAACUCUUAUGAGAUGAUAAUCCAAGUGCAGGAACAGAGCAGCUUGAGUUUUGCC
ensembl:lncRNA